rnacentral:rRNA from 2 species
CCAAUAGCGUAUAUUAAAGUUGUUGCAGUUAAAAAGCUCGUAGUUGAAUUUCGGAAUCAAUGGAUCGGUCAUGCCACUCGGUGUGUACUGGUUUGAUUGGUUCUCACCUUCUAAGGAACCGUGAUGUCAUUAAUUUGGUGUCGCGGGGAAUUAGGACUGUUACCUUGAAAAAAUUAGAGUGUUUAAAGCAAGCUCACGCUUGAAUACAUUAGCAUGGAAUAAUGAAAUAGGACAUUGUAUUCUAUUUUGUUGGUUUCUAGGAUCGAUGUAAUGAUUAAUAGGGAUAGUUGGGGGCAUUAGUAUUCAAUUGUCAGAGGUGAAAUUCUUGGAUUUAUUGAAGACUAACUACUGCGAAAGCAUUUGCCAAGGAUGUUUUCAUUAAUCAAGAACGAAAGUUAGGGGAUCGAAGACGAUCAGAUACCGUCGUAGUCUUAACCAUAAACUAUGCCGACUAGGGAUCGGAUGAUGUUAAUUUUUUAAUGACUCAUUCGGCACCUUACG